GCUUUCCUGGACAUGGUGGAAUCUUCUGGCAGUUUCUUACAGAAGCCACUCCUUUUAUAUAUGGCUCUACAUAUGGAAAGCUAUUUACAUAUAUUGCUAGACUCAGCCACAUCUACGAAGCCUAUUUUGCACAAAAAUUGUUCAACCUCAAAUACUUCUUGUGGAGCUUUUUCAUUUCAAGAUUAUGUGCCACUGGGAUGGACAGGCUUUUCUUCACUCAUUGAAAUGACCAGAAGAAUCAGUUGACAGGGGAGAAACUCAGCUAAAAUCAACCUAGCUUUGGAGAAAGGAAACUCAAUUCCCUGAGAGGCUGGACAUUACAAGACUGGGCAAAUGUAGUAGUAAAUUUCACAAAUGGAGUGACUUCUCUUUUUAACACUGGGAUAGCUUAGACAGCAGCUGCUGCUGUAGCAUUACACUGGCUUAAGAUAAGUGGCCUCACACAUUACAU